rnacentral:rRNA from 1 species
UACAGAGGGUGCGAGCGUUGUCCGGAAUCACUGGGCGUAAAGGGCGCGUAGGUGGUGGCUUAAGCGUGCGGUGAAAGCUCGGGGCUCAACCCCGAGUCGGCCGUGCGAACUGGGCUCACUGGAGCAUAGUAGAGGCAGGUGGAAUUCCGGGUGUAGCGGUGGAAUGCGUAGAGAUCCGGAAGAACACCGGUGGCGAAGGCGGCCUGCUGGGCUAUGGCUGACACUGAGGCGCGACACGUGGGGAGCAAACAGG